rnacentral:rRNA from 1 species
CCUACGGGUGGCAGCAGUAGGGAAUCUUCCACAAUGGGCGAAAGCCUGAUGGAGCAACGCCGCGUGGGUGAAGAAGGUCUUCGGAUCGUAAAACCCUGUUGUUAGAGAAGAAAGUGCGUGAGAGUAACUGUUCACGUUUCGACGGUAUCUAACCAGAAAGCCACGGCUAACUACGUGCCAGCAGCCGCGGUAAUACGUAGGUGGCAAGCGUUAUCCGGAUUUAUUGGGGUUAAAGGGAACGCAGGCGGUCUUUUAAGUCUGAUGUGAAAGCCUGCGGCUUAACCGGAGUAGUGCAUUGGAAACUGGGAGACUUGAGGGCAGAAGAGGAGAGGGGAACUCAAGGUGUAGCGGGGAAAUGCGUAGAGAGAUGGAAGAACACCAGUGGCGAAGGCGGCUCUCUGGUCUGUAACUGACGCUGAGGUUCGAAAGUGUGGGUAGCAAACAGGAUUAGAUACCCUAGUAGUC